GCCCCUGUAGGCCAACGGCAGAGCCAGUGGACUCAAAAUCCAUACAGUGUGGGUUCGAAUCCCACCGGGGGCA
rnacentral:tRNA from 1 species